GCCCAACAUAGCCCAACAUAUUUUAUAAUGAUCAGAUGGUGGGUCAGUUAAAUAGUGUGACUCAUCAAGGCAAAUGUAGAAACAUUUGAAGACAUAUUUGAAGACCCUGAUUCUUUAACACAGAAGCAGAGUAUGAAGGAGGCAGCAAGUAAACCUUUCAACCCGAAUGCCUGAUUAUCUGGGGUCUCUGGAGCGAAAGCAAGGAAAGGCAGGUAGGUCAUGCUAAGGCAGCUCUGAGGCAAUGUGUGUGUGUUUCAGAGUAACUAACAG